rnacentral:tRNA from 1 species
GCCUAGCUGGCUCAGUCAGAAGAGCAUGUGACUCUUGAUCACACAGUCAUGAGUUCGAGCCCCACAAUGGGUG